CAACAGCAGAGCCUGCCAUUCUCCUGGAACAGACGGGAGGAUUUGCAGUUGGGGCCACGCUUAGACUGUUACUGGAUCUGCUGCUGAAACCUCACCUCAGCAGUGCCUGCUGCAUCCUCACAAGACUCUGCAGAUCCCUAGAGAGGACCAAGAGACAAAGAGAAAGAAUAAUGGGGCUAGACACAGAGGAGAAAUCAUCGCUGUCCUUCAGAAUCAAACCUUAGGUGAAAAAGAUACUACAGCCUUUUUUGCUGGUUUUUCUAUGCAGGUGUUCCACUUCUGAGCCCAGGUAAGGGUCGUUUGAGGGAGCUAUUGAUAGCAUGGGUCAGAAAAAAAAGUCA
rnacentral:lncRNA from 1 species